GGUUCGAUGGCGUAGUUGGUUAUCGCAUCUGUCUAACACACAGAAGGCCCCCGGUUCGAGCCCGGGUCGAACCA